rnacentral:rRNA from 1 species
UACGUAGGGUGCAAGCGUUAAUCGGAAUUAUUGGGCGUAAAGGGCGCGUAGGCGGCUCAUGAAGGCUGUGGUGAAAGUCCGGGGCUCAACCUCGGAUCGGCCGUGGCGACUCGUGGGCUGGAGCACUGUAGAGGCGGGUGGAAUUCCGGGUGUAGCGGUGGAAUGCGUAGAGAUCCGGAAGAACACCGGUGGCGAAGGCGGUCUGCUGGGGUGAGGCUGACGCUGAUGCGCGACAGCGUGGGGAGCAAACAGG